rnacentral:lncRNA from 1 species
AUUGCAGGAAAUCUGGUCCCCGGAGACCUUUCUCUACUCUAGUCUGCCUGCCCCCACGCCCCUGGGUCUCCGGGGCCAUGAGUUUCUAAACGUCACCCUGAGCCACCAUGGAAACCAACCCAUUGGGCUCACCGGCCUUCUUCUUUUGCUUAAAGACGCUCCCGGAUCCCUUUGCUUGGUCAAGAACAUUUGUUCUUUUCCUCGCAUGCCAACUACACUGAGUGGACCAGCUCUUCAUGUCUGCACCUUUCAAUGCCUCAUCUGCACGGCCCCGUCUUCCUUCAACGCUUCUGACAUACAAUUCACGUUGCCAGCAAACCCACGCGCACGCACGCACAGACGCACGCACGGACAGACGACACAGUCGCUCCCUCACGCCCCACUGAGGCGUGUUGCACGCAGCACCUUCUGGUAUUUUUCAACCGGCUGGGUUUUUCAAAGGCUCACGGCAUCCACUCCAUCAACUUGAUGAUCCUUAAGGAAUCGUGACGUCGCCCAAGCAGGGACGAUGGGUUGUCGACUGACCGAACCUCAACUUUCCGAAGUUCAAGUUGCCCUGCAGGGUCUGACCCGGAGUUGCAGAUUGCGUUACACCCUUGGGAGGAAUAAAAGGCAGCCUCCACGUGACACAGGGUUUUGGAGGAAGCCAGGGGGGUAUGUGGACCAGGGGCUGAGAGCCCAGGAGGCCCGGUGCAGCUAAGCGACCCAGAAGACGGGGGCAAAGAGCCGGCUGGAUCCGAGGGGGGCAGACCCAGCACCCGGUUGUGAGUUUUAAUCAAGGACCGUGGCCAAUACGAAUGGCUCUUCCUUCUACGCGUUGCAUUCUCUUCCAUCCUCAGGCUGCCCGGGGAAUUCGAUUAAAUGAAACCCACGUACAACACGCGGACACACGGGGACCAACGGGAAUGCACAGAAGCCGCCGCCGACGGGGAUCUGGCAGCCGCCCUGAGGACUGAGUUCAUCCUUUCACAUCAAACAAACAUCAAAUUCCAUUUCCUGAGCGAGAAAUCGCGAUGCCUCUCGUCUGGCGCCUGCCUAGGCCUCCCUACCUGGAUGCUCUUUCCUGCUCUGGCCUCUGUCCUGGGCGUCCGACAGGUUCUGCCGACAAAAUGAAGUUUAAUGAGCAGUGUCAGAAGCUGGCUCGCCUCCCUAGGGCCGGAAGUCCAAAAUGGGUCUCCUGGGGACAGAGUCAAGGUGUCGACAGCGCCGGUCCCAUAUGGACGUUC